rnacentral:rRNA from 1 species
AAGCUCGUAGUUGAAUUUCGGGAUCACUAUAUUGGUCGUGUCUUUGGUAUGAACUGGUAUUAUUGAUUUCUACCUUCUGACGAACUGUGAUGUCAUUAAUUUGGUGUCAUGGGGAAUCAGGACUGUUACUUUGAAAAAAUUAGAGUGUUUAAAGCAGGCUAGCGCCUGAAUACAUUAGCAUGGAAUAAUGAAAUAGGACGUUCGAACCUAUUUUGUUGGUUUCUAGGUACAACGUAAUGAUUAAUAGGGAUAGUUGGG